UUCCAUUAUGAUCUAACAUUGAAUUAAUCUGUUUUACGCAGGCAAAUAAAUGCAUUUGGCAUGUUAAUGCUGAGUCUGAAGCAUAUUUCUGUCCAUAUGGGACAGUAUCUGAAAUCAUGCAGAAAUCACUACACACAUUAAAAACACUUCCUCUGGACAGAGUGCUUUAACGGAGAAAAAUGUUUACAAAAUAAAAAACAGAGAAAAACUCUAUAUAAGAAUUACUCAGUCAUGGAUCUGUGUUCUCUUUACACAGAUCACUGAAACUCAUUAAAUUUUUUGACAUACUAAGUCACGACUAUUGAUAUAGUGUGUCUCAUUUCUCAUCUACCAAGUUUUAAAAUACUACUUGCCCUAUACUAAUCAUAGCCAAUGAAAAUGGAAUUUUUUUUUUGAGACAGAGUCUCACUUUGUCACCAGGCUGGAGUGCAAUGGCACGAUCUCGGCUCACUGCAACCCCUGCCUCCCAGGUUCAAGCGAU
rnacentral:lncRNA from 1 species